UUCAUAUACACGUGGUGUAGAAAACAUUUUGUAGAUUUUUUUAAAUAUCUACUAUCACGGUCUUCGAAGAUCUUCUAAUACCAUAGACAUAAUAUAUAUUAUGUCUAUGUCUAAUACCGUGAUUUAAAGUUGGUUUGAAAUUUAUUUAAAGCCACAACCUCAUAAAACGAUUCUAGGGCAGCGUUCAAUUUUACAGUGGUAUAAUUUGGAAAUUAAUUCGUCUCACUAAGCGGGAUGCCUGAUGAAGCAUAGAUGCUCGACCUUAUCUUCUAAGACCAUGUGUUGUAUGAUGAAAUGUCUGAUUUUGAAAAGUGAUUGAUACUGUAGAUUUUUGCAAAAAAGGAGGGCUUAAAGAUAGGACAUAAGACCAUAAACAUUUAUAUAAUGAAAACUGCAUUUAUAGACGCUCAAAAAAAAAUCGAUCAAACUUAGUGUGAGAUUCUAUAGGCUUUGUAAGAGUUGAUACUUCGUUUAAGAAUAAGAUUACGUUUUAUUACGUGAAAACUUUAGUUUAAAAUUAGAAGCCACUUAUUAAAAUGCUUAUCAAAAAUUUGUUCCCAAACAAAACGUUCAAGACUCCUUCUAGAACUAUUUUUGCCAAUAGUGAUAUAAGCAGGAUAGUAGAGGAUUUAUUUGAGAUUAUAUUAGCCAAGGAAGAUGUAUAUCAAGAUAAAGGUAGUGGCUUUCCUAAGAAACUUUUGAUGGGGUGUCAUUGGGUGUUUGUCAAUAAAUACCAAUGGAUAGAUUAUUAUAUUUACCUCUACCACUUGAUAUCAAAAAUAAAAAAGCAGUAAUAAUUCCAUAAAAUAUUGAUGAAAAAACUUCAAAUGGGCAAUUCUAGCAAAAUAUGUCACGGGAAGGAAUGAAUAAAUAAACGCCGAUUUGGAAAUAAUUAUGAGUUGUAUGAAGAUAAACAUAAUUUUACUGGACUCAAAAAAAAAAUUCAAACCUUCACUCAAAUACUCCAAAAACACACACACACAUAUAUAUAUAUAUAUAUAAAUAUCAAUGGAAUUUACAACAAGCUGUAGUCAAAAUUAUUAUAGUUGAAAUGAUUAUAUAAUUCCAAGUACAGUUCCAACAGUUCGUUUGGUUAUCAACCUAAACACAGAAAUAAGGAAAAAGACGAAUAAUGAGUUUGAGAAAAAUGUCUAUUAAUUGAUAAACAACACUAUUAAGUGUAAAUGAAAUUGUAUUUAUAGCUACAUUUAAAAGCUAUAAUUUAAAAAUAUAUAUAUAAAUACAUGGAGUAUUGAGCAUAUUUUUGGUGUUCCAUAAAUUCUACAUUCAGUCCAAGAGGAUCAUUAAUCAACAUAUCAGUAGUUGAACAUAUUUUUAAUGAAUUAUAUAUACUUUGUGUAUAUCUAAUGUCAUUGUUUGUUGUGUGCGAUAAAUACAAAGCUAGAAAAAAAAAAGGCCAUUUACAUUAA